rnacentral:rRNA from 1 species
AGCAGCCGCGGUAAUUCCAGCUCCAAUAGCGUAUAUUAAAGUUGUUGCAGUUAAAAAGCUCGUAGUUGAAUUUCGGGAUCAGUACGCUGGUCGUGCCUUUGGUAUGUACUGGUGUCACUUGAUUCCCUCCCUUCUGAAGAACCGUUAUGCCAUUUAUUUGGUGUGGCGGGGAAUCAGGACUGUUACUUUGAAAAAAUUAGAGUGUUUAAAGCAGGCUCGCGCUUGAAUACAUUAGCAUGGAAUAAUGAAAUAGGACGUUUGAUCUUUAUUUUGUUGGUUUCUAGGAUCGACGUAAUGAUUAAUAGGGAUAGUUGGGGGCAUUAGUAUUC